rnacentral:rRNA from 1 species
GAUGAACGCUGGCGGCGUGCCUAAUACAUGCAAGUCGAGCGAACGGACCAGAAGCUUGCUUCUCUGAUGUUAGCGGCGGACGGGUGAGUAACGCGUGGAUAACCUACCUAUAAGACUGGGAUAACUUCGGGAAACCGGAGCUAAUACCGGAUGAUAUUUUGAACCGCAUGGUUCAAAAGUGAAAGACGGUCUUGCUGUCACUUAUAGAUGGAUCCGCGCUGCAUUAGCUAGUUGGUAAGGUAACGGCUUACCAAGGCAACGAUGCAUAGCCGACCUGAGAGGGUGAUCGGCCACACUGGAACUGAGACACGGUCCAGACUCCUACGGGAGGCAGCAGUAGGGAAUCUUCCGCAAUGGGCGAAAGCCUGACGGAGCAACGCCGCGUGAGUGAUGAAGGUCUUCGGAUCGUAAAACUCUGUUAUUAGGGAAGAACAUAUGUGUAAGUAACUGUGCACAUCUUGACGGUACCUAAUCAGAAAGCCACGGCUAACUACGUG